AGCUCGGACGCGAGUUCUA
rnacentral:snRNA from 1 species